GGCGGGUUUCCUAAGGAGAAGCAGGCUGAACGGAGCAGUAAGUGCAGGCAGGCCUGGGAGCGGCCACAGGAGACACUGUUAGGGCCUGUAUCCUAUGAAUCAAUCACCCGAGACCAGAGAAGGAAAAGCCUUGUCUAAGAAAUCUACGAACCCAGGUCUGCAGGAGCAAUUUUCUUCACAAUAUACCAGGAAUUGAACUAAUGAAGCAAAUUAGGAAUAAUAACCACUGGCUUGUAUAGGAUGAACUGGAUUCAUUACAGAUACCACUGCACUGACCUCUGACCUGGACUGGGAAGGGUAGGUAUGAUUACACCCUCUGUACCUAACAAGGAUUGGAAACUCAGUCAUUUUGAGGUGCUCGCCCCAAAUCCCACAGUUCAUAAGGCAUGGAAACAAGAUUUGAACCCAGAUGCAUUGCUCCUCUGCUUUUUUUCCAACUGGCUAGCCUUCCUAAUGAAAUCCAUACGUCUGAGCUGAGCAGGGGAGUUGUUUCUCGUAUCACCAAGUCUGAUCCGUUCCUUGCAUUUUCCCCGAGUGCUUCCACCACCUUGGUAAGGAGAAUAUGAAGGCUUCCACCCCCUCAUGCACCUCUCCAAUGUAAAGUGGGCUCUGCGCCUCCAUCCUGUCGAAAACAACAGCAGUCCAGCCAGUGUCUGCAAAUGGUUGCACUGCUGAAGAGAUCAUCCCAGCGCCCUAAUGGUGUGAAAGCAAUUUCACAACCACCUAUAUCUGAGAUUCACACGCCAUCCAUUAGGCAGUCAGUCGGAGAGAGAACCCCUAACCACCCCUUGCUGUAUAGACUGCUGCAAUUAGGAACAAAAUGGAUGUGAUGAAUUCCAUAUCUUGCAAGGAAGUCAGCUUUCCCUGGAAAACCUGUUUGCAAAUGGUACCAUGCUUCUGCGUUUUUCCACUUUGUGAGUUUACCGCAUCUGCUCCUUAAAUAUAACAGCACAUAUGGUACCAUCGUUUUGCAAAGCGACAUAAAAGAAGAUGAAGAAACCAUUAGUCUCCCUGCUUCUGUUCCCCCACCAGCCCCAUGCCGUGUUGAGGAUCUCAAGUGCAGGGGCAUAGGAAAAAUUACUGACCCCCUGGGUGAGGGCCACACUACGCCCACCUUCCUUCACUGUGUCACCUGCCUCGUGUUUCAAGUUCUCUUCCACCUGAUAGUCCAAAUCCCAUUCAUCAGGGAUUAGUGGGACGCAAGAAGAACAUACUAUUACCAGAUGCAUAUUUUAACGAAUGGAAUUUUCACAAUUGCUUUACAUUGGUCAGUUUAAGAUGGGAAAAAGCUGUUCAAGUUUCACUUGGUGACAGAAGUUGGGGCAAUAAGAAACCUCUUAGGUCACCUCAUCCAUUCCUCUGCCAGCACCUCCUGUAUAUCAUCUGAGCUGACUUUUUAAAUGAAACAAAUGCCACCGCUGCCCAGGAAAAUCAUUCUGUGGCCUCAUAAAACGCCACCAGUAAAAAAACCUCCCCUGGUGUCCAGCUGAAAUGCUCUUUUCCUGAUUUGAUCCCAUUAGCUCUCAGCUAAUCGGGCUGCCCCAUAAAAUGACUUCUUACCGUGCACGCAUCUGGCACUCACCCCACUGCAGGAAGCUUAGAGCUGGACCUGGCGGGACGUGAACGGGGAGAGUGCUAUCCCAACUGCCACCACCUGGGUAGAGUGGCUCUGAGACCCAGAAACAUGGAUGGAAGCUGCAUAUGCUCAGGAUGGAAUCAGGCUGGGCACAGGAGCCUCCAAGGAACCAGGCUGACUUCUCCAAAGUUAAUUCUGCAACAGAGAGCCUCGCACUCCCCUGAUGUCAUGCAGCCAAUGUGCCAGUUGGGGCUGGUGCGGCAGCGCUGCAGGGGAGCUUGUGAGAGAUGCAGACUCGCAGAGCCCACUCUGCAGUGACCAAAUUCACGUCUUUACUUUAACAGUGUCUCAAGGUCAUCCCUGGACACAGCAAAAUUUGAGAAAUGCUGCAGAAAGCCCUCACUUUCAAACCUGACCGCAGAAGAAUCACUUGUGGAGCUUAAAAAAUUGUGAGUGCCUGGGUCCUGCCUCCAGAAAUUUCCACUUAAAUGGUCGGUGGCUGUGCAUAGGGUUUUUCUGGUAAUGUUCAGCAAAGGGUGGGAACCGCUGCUCCAAGCACCCCAGCCCCACAGGGCCUCCUGGAAGGCCGCUGCCCUCGCACAUGCUCAUCAGCCUCCUCGCAGCUCUCGCCAGGGUGCUGUGACACCUCGGACAGUGCAGGCCACCUUGCAGGGAAGCCUGGGGCGGGGACUGUGGGCUGGAACCCAGCUCCACCACCUUGGCACUAAACUUAUCUUUACGACAAGGACGAUAACGGCACCGGCACCUGGUGUGGGGACUAAACAAGAGACGCAAAAGGUGGCAGCUGAGCAGCGCUACUGCUCCCCUUCCAUCUGAAGAACCACUAAACCAACACUGACACGUCUCCAGAGGGGGAGGGGGGCGGCUGGCUGUCGGCCAGCACAGAAUUUCAACCAACUUUCAAAAGAUGGGAAAUGGCUGGAAGCCUGUUGGCAUGUGAACAGGCUGGGGAAGCUACCAUCCGCAAAAUGCAAGUGAGGGCGCAGGAAUGGGGUGUGAUCAGGUCCUUCCAGAACACCUCAGAGAGCUUCUGGGCCAAGUCAGCAGGACCAGGAAGCGGCAGAGAGGUGGAGAUGGAACCGCGGCAUCGCCCACCAGCCCCUGUCCCACUCGACCCUGGUGGGGUUGCCAGUUCGGGCUGCCUGGCCUCAAAGUGCCUUCUCCCACUGCUACCAGUCUGACUUCUGUGUCUCCAGUGUGAAGCUACUGCUGAACUUGUCACCCGUUCUGAGGUGUAUCUGUCCCUCGUAGAUGAGAGCCCCUGGACAACAGGGACCCCCCUUUGCCGCCCUGCUAAGACCGCGAGCUGCACAGUCCACUCAAGCCGCGCUUCUUGAAGGAAAGUGGUUUUUCCUGAUUUGCUUCCACCCUGAUCCAUGGUCUGCAAGCUUCUCUCGCGCCCAGAUGAUGGCUGCAUCCUGAGGGCUACUUUCUCUCAAGUAACUACCCUCCAUGUUCUUCUGGCCCUGCUACCCACAUACACCACCCCUUUCAGAAACCCUUUCUAACCAUUCCAAAUGUAAAAG